rnacentral:lncRNA from 1 species
UUGUUCUAGGCUUUCUUUCUUAACCUGCAUAUUCAGAGCACGCCUAGCAAUAUGCAUCUCACAAUGUGCAGCAAGCAACACAUUAUUAACCAACACAUCUGAAUCAUCACAGUCAUUAUUGCCAUUAAGAGUUCUUUGACCUAUUCUUGUAGAAGUGGAAGCUUGUGAGACAUUCAAACUCUCCAUAGUUUCAGUUAACCUCUCAAGAGUCUUAUUAAGCCUUUGUAACUCACCACUGACUGACUUCUUAAAGAGCUUAUAAUCGUUACCCAUAUUCGAUUCACUUCCAUCAGUACGAUCCACCACAUUCUUGUCUUUACUCAUCCUACCUUAAAUCAACAAAGAACAAAAAGGACUAGCAAAUAUUGUGUUAAAAAAGAAAGUACUCAAUUGUUUGCACUCUUACCAUUCUUUUGCUGAUUCUUCAAUUGCACUUCAGAAACUAAGGUCAACCAACUAACCACAAGGUGCGUUUAAUGAAACAAAGAAGAAAUCCUAAAGAAAGAAGGAAGCGCGCAAAAACUAGAAAGAAGACACUGACAAUUUGGAAAGUAACACAUGAACUAGGUUCUGUGCUACUUGAAAAAUAUCACCUAGAGUAUAGACACAAGCAAACAAUACUCCAGCAAUGUCAAGGAAGCAAAAGCAAGCUUAAACAAAAAAAAGAAACUUAGAAAUCAAAUAA